UGGGGAAUUUUUGACAAUGGGGGAAACCCUGAUCCAGCCAUCCCGCGUGUGCGAUGAAGGCCUUCGGGUUGUAAAGCACUUUUGUCAGGAAAGAAACGUCAUGGGUUAAUACCCCGUGAAACUGACGGUACCUGCAGAAUAAGCACCGGCUAACUACGUGCCAGCAGCCGCGGUAAUACGUAGGGUGCAAGCGUUAAUCGGAAUUACUGGGCGUAAAGCGUGCGCAGGCGGUUAGGAAAGAAAGAUGUGAAAUCCCAGAGCUCAACUUUGGAACUGCAUUUUUAACUACCGGGCUAGAGUGUGUCAGAGGGAGGUGGAAUUCCGCGUGUAGCAGUGAAAUGCGUAGAUAUGCGGAGGAACACCGAUGGCGAAGGCAGCCUCCUGGGAUAACACUGACGCUCAUGCACGAAAGCGUGGGGAGCAAACAGG
rnacentral:rRNA from 1 species